ensembl:lncRNA
GAGAAAUGGCUUCUUAAACCAAGUCCAAGAACUGUGAAAGAAACUUGUGCAGCCAAGCUGCUAAAGAAAUGUGAAGGUGUCUCUAAUGGAACUUGUUAGACUGGAUUGUCAAUCAAAAGCCAAAUCUUUGGUGUUUGUGAGGAAAAAAAAUGCCCAGCAGCCGUCCUGCAGCACAUCAGUGCUUUGUCUGACUGCGGUGUGAAGGUGUUGCUCGGGACCAGGGACACUUGGACUGGUUGAGGAGCAGCACCUUGAAGGAACAUCCAGACACAGCCUUCCUGCUUCCUGACCUCAGCACAGGGAUGCUGAUCUCUGCAAUGCCCUGUCCUUGUCCCCAGGCUCCUCCAGCCCCUUCUUCCAGCCCAGCCCCUCUCACUUGCAGCUCAGCAGUGGUGAGUUAAAAGAAAACUGUGGCAAAUUAAUCUGAAAAGGGAGAGCAGCCUUUGCAGUAGCUGAGGAAUACCUCUCUUAUCUGCACUGUCUGAGGCUGCAGAGCCACUGGGAAUUCAGAUUGGUCUUCACGUCUGAUGCGCUGCUGGGAAAUGCAUUCUGGAUGUUGAGUUUAAACAUGUCUCCAGAGGCAGCACUUGGCUGGCUGGGUGCCUGCUGCACUGCUUCCCAGCUACAUCACUUGGGUCUGGAUUUAAUACCGAGUACAUUCUACUGGUUCCUUUUUAUAGCAGCUGGCAAUAAACACAUCAUGUUACGGCUUUAUUUUGGCUACAGAUUAAUUGUAGAGAAUGUAAUUGCUUCCCCAUUUGAAGCCAGGGGGAAGCCCACAGAGUAGGUCAUCAGCUUCUUGGAGCAUCACCUGGGAGAUGGUCUUUAACAUUUGUUUGUUUUUCUAUAAGUAGGUGAGGAUUAAAAAUCAAAAGCAUCCUGCAACAACUACUCCUCUACCUAGGAAAGCACCAAGUCACUCCUGGUUCUACCGCUGUGAUGAGCAAAGGAAACCUUGAGGGAUAGGUUCGGACUUGUUACACUUAGCACUGCUCCCUUCCUCUUUUAGCUAGUAGGCAAUUAUCAGAUCCGAUCAACAGAAACAGACCUUUCCCAGAGCACAGCUCUUGUGCAGUGUUCUGCAGGUUUGGCCAACUGCACGCCUUCGGUGCUUCAGAUCCAUCUCAACGGUGUUCAGUGUGGCACUCGUGAAUCUUCACUGGGCCCUUCACUGUCCAGGAGGGGACAAUGGGCUGAGCUCUUCCAUCGAGCCUGCAGUCCCCAUUACACCGCUUUCACUCCCAGCAGCUAUUCAGUUCCUGAGUUCUAUAGUUCCUGCAUUUACUGCCUCCCAUGCAUGGGCUGUUCUCCCUCUCUGAUGCAUAGAAAUGUUGAUCUAAACUAUGAGUUGGCAGCUUGGAAGCUUUUCUUCCAGGUACAAUCUCUGCUUCCUAAGCAGGUUUUUGAGGAUGUGUCUAUUGCAGCUUUCAGCACAUCAGUGACAAUCACAGCCAACCUCAUGGUCACUGAGAACUUCAGUUUGCUGCUUGGCCUCUUUGCCUGGAAACAACAGGAUGUUUGUUUGAGAAUGGAGCAAACAAGAUGUGACACUGUGGAGGCUUUUCAGCUUAAAGGGACCACUUCCAUCCCGGAACGCCGGUCUCAUCCCAGCUCUGCAGGCAGCCACGGCACGUGGGCCUUUUUGGAAAUGCACCUGAAGACCGUUCUGGGAUCCUUCCAUCCCACACUUCCUGGCAGGCUGCUCCAGAGCCUUCCUCCUGAGGUUGUGAGUGCUGACUUCUAAACGCUGGGAUGUUCCCACUCGUCUCCACAGCAGUACCCCUCACACUCAGAAAGGUGGUGCUCUUGCAUAUUUUUACUCUUUUUUCUUCCUUCCUUUGUAAGGCUAAAUCAGUAAAGCUCCUCAAGCCUAAUGAAACAGCAGGUUUUUACUCUUUGCAGUACUCUUAAGAAGUGAUAAAUAUCGCCUGGAUUUAAACGUUACUGCCAGUCACGUUUGUUGUUGCAGUGAUCUCAAGCUCGUGUUGUCUCUGACAGCUGAAGGACAGCAGAGCUCCAGGAACUGAAGCCUUUCAGUCAAGUGAACUCUAAAGUAAGAAAACAAUCGUAUUGGUUUGUCUCAAUCAUCUGUGGCCAUUCUGAGAACGUGCAAAUGGCUCAUUAGCAGUUGUAGUGCUUACAGCAGUUAUUAAAUUCUGCUGGGCCAGUAGGCAAAGUCAAACUGUGUUGCAGUUGCAGAUGAAGUUGGUGCAAAGCAGCAGGGAUGAGGGCUGCAGUGGUGUGUCAGCUGUGGGUCACCACUGCGAGCUGCCUGCACAACAAAGCCUGUAAUUUAAUGCCCUUGGCAGUUAUUUGUGCAUCAGUAUCUCAUGAUGCAGGCUGACAAAAACAUUUCCAAUUCAGAACAUAAGAAAAAGUAUAAAAAUGGGAGUGAUACCACAUGUCUGUGCUGGUUCCCAGUCACUCUGAAUGGGUUAGAUGGUGCUUAUCUCAAUUUCAGAACAGUAAGCUUGGCCUGCAGGGUGGAUUUCAUGCUCUAAGUAUGCAGACAAAACUCUUCCUGGUUGGAGGAUAAUUCUGAUGAGUUCUCGAGUCACCAAUCCAAGAAUGGAGGUGUGGAAGGAGCCCAAGGGGAGCAGCUGCUUCCAUCAGUGAGGGAGCAGGUACUGAUCUCAUGAGCAGACACAGAAUCACACAGAAUCAUAGAGUCAUAGAGUGGCUUGGGUUGGAA